AGUGAACGCUGGCGGUAGGCCUAACACAUGCAAGUCGAACGGCAGCACAGUAAGAGCUUGCUCUUACGGGUGGCGAGUGGCGGACGGGUGAGGAAUACAUCGGAAUCUACUUUUUCGUGGGGGAUAACGUAGGGAAACUUACGCUAAUACCGCAUACGACCUACGGGUGAAAGCAGGGGAUCUUCGGACCUUGCGCGAUUGAAUGAGCCGAUGUCGGAUUGGCUAGUUGGCGGGGUAAAGGCCCACCAAGGCGACGAUCCGUAGCUGGUCUGAGAGGAUGAUCAGCCACACUGGAACUGAGACACGGUCCAGACUCCUACGGGAGGCAGCAGUGGGGAAUAUUGGACAAUGGGCGCAAGCCUGAUCCAGCCAUACCGAGUGGGUGAAGAAGGCCUUCGGGUUGUAAAGCCCUUUUGUUGGGAAAGAAAAGCAGCAGGUUAAUACCCCGCUGUUCUGACGGUACCCAAAGAAUAAGCACCGGCUAACUUCGUG
rnacentral:rRNA from 1 species